UCGGUCUCUCAUUUUGUAGGGCUUGGGAGUGCCGUGAACGCCGAUGCUACAGAUCUAGGCCCAUCGUUGUCCGCGCGCCGCCGUGCUAGGGCUUGAGUGAUCGAGCACAAGGAUGUCUACGCCGGCGAGGAAGCGCCUGAUGCGAGAUUUCAAGCGCCUACAGCAUGAUCCUCCGGCAGGCAUCAGCGGCGCUCCACAGGACAACAAUAUCAUGUUGUGGAAUGCUGUGAUCUUCGGGCCUGACGACACGCCAUGGGAUGGAGGUACGUUCAAGCUUACGUUACAGUUCACGGAGGACUAUCCCAACAAACCGCCAAAUGUCCGGUUUGUGUCGAAGAUGUUCCAUCCCAACAUUUAUGCCGAUGGAAGCAUUUGUCUCGACAUCCUCCAAAAUCAGUGGAGCCCGAUCUAUGAUGUUGCCGCAAUACUGACAUCGAUCCAGUCUUUGCUAUGCGAUCCCAACCCAAACUCUCCUGCUAACUCCGAGGCGGCGCGCAUGUACAACGAGAACAGGAGAGAGUAUAACAAGAAAGUUCGAGCAGUCGUGGAACAAAGCUGGACGGCAAAUGACUAGACUGCGUGGCUGGCUACUGAAAAUGCUGCUUUGUAUAUGUCGGUGCCCGGACUUCUUUUUUUUCUUCUUCUAGGUGAUUUGAUAGAGGGCGAAAGGUUCAGCUGUUAUUGACAUUAAAAGCAGUGGCAAUUUCUUCGCCAAUUGCGUACUGAGAAGGAGCACAGCUUUUCUCAAGCUCGUAGCCACCAGCACUCUCGGCAGGAGCGCUACCAGUCGGAAGAAGAGCAAGAACACGCCGAGCGGUGGCAUCCACACUGGAACAAAAAAAAAGGAGAAAGAAAAGAGAACUUUUUUCAAGUUUUUUCUCCUUGAAUUCGAUCGAUCUCUUACCCGGUA